AUUGAACGCUGGCGGCAGGCCUAACACAUGCAAGUCGAACGAGUGGCGGACGGGUGAGUAAUGUCUGGGAAACUGCCUGAUGGAGGGGGAUAACUACUGGAAACGGUAGCUAAUACCGCAUACCAUCAGAUGUGCCCAGAUGGGAUUAGCUAGUAGGUGGGGUAACGGCUCACCUAGGCGACGAUCCCUAGCUGGUCUGAGAGGAUGACCAGCCAAACUGGAAAUGAGACACGGUCCAGACUCCGACGGGAGGCAGCAGUGGGGAAUAUUGCACAUUGGGGGCAAGCCUGAUGGAGCCAAGCCGCGUGUAUGAAGAAGGCCGUCGGGUUGUAAAGUACUUUCAGCGGGGAGGCGUUACCCGCAGAAGAAGCCCCGGCUAACUACGUGCCAGCAGCCGCGGUAAUAC
rnacentral:rRNA from 1 species